AGCUACUGCCCAUCCUGUGAUGCUGAGAAGCUAUGAAAUAUAUUUUCUUACUACCCCCUGGAGAUGACCACUGUCAUGUGAAGCAUUCUCAUCUUAUCCAUCCAAGUACUGUGGGCUGAAACAAGGAUGAAAUACAACAGGACCUAUGAAUAUUUAAAAAAUACAACUCCCUAGAUGGGAGAAAAUACUCAGAUAAGUCAUGUACUUUAUUGCAAGACUGGAAGAUGUCAGUCCUAUGAGAAGACCAGAUAGUGUAUUAUUUCCACCCAGAGGAAUUCUCUUGUUUCCAGCUUUCCAUUCUUCCAGAUACCAUCACCAAGGCAGAGAGCAUCCCCCAUGGACUGGGGCUGAUGCCACACUACACUCUUUGCAUGCUUAACAACACUUUGAAGAUGUGAGGUAUAACUCUUACUAUUGUUUUAUUGUUUUGUGAUGGACUUGUGAUACUCAUGUGACCCACUGAUAAGUCACACACUGUGCAAACAGUCAUUCGUAUAUCACCAGAAACACUCUGCAUCACUGAGAGAAAUGAGGGAGGAAUUCAGGCUCAGAAACACAGUCUCCCCUUCAUUUCCUUCUGAAGCACUAUAUCACUGCUCUGGUGAUGAUCACUCCUCCUGUGUAGACUUCUUUAAGAAAUUGUUCUGUAUCUUAGAUAUAGUUUCUAUGGUAACUGUGUAGUUUUUUUGUUUGUUUGUUUGUUUGUUUUUUAACUUAGUGGACAGUUUGGGGAUGGAGGGAAGAGGGUUUGAAUGUGACAUUGGGAAUGUAGUGAUUAAAUAAGCUGGAAAAACAAAGUAUUCUGUAUUUGAAAUAUUUAUCAGUAAACUGAAACAGCAGUUGAAGAGAGCAUCAGUCUACCUACCUGGCCUAUAAGACAAGCAGCUCAGACCUGCCGGAACUGUAGAGGAAAGCAAAGAAGAAGAAGCCCAAAGCAAGUCCAGCCACUGCUAAAAUUUUGCAGCUAGCAGUCUUUUAGAACUGGAUGCUUUUUACAGGGCCUGCAGCUUUCAUUGUUUCCUCCUGCCAAAGUUCUGACAGAGAAGAGUAUUCAGCAAAGGUUACAACAACAGAGUGUUAUU
rnacentral:lncRNA from 1 species